rnacentral:miRNA from 6 species
AAGCUAGAUUACCAAAGCAU